UCUUGCCUUGUCAUGGGAUGAGAAAGCUGCUCAGUGAACGUCUCGUGAGAGUAGCUCUGCUGACACCAUAACAACACAUACGCACCACCUGGACUCCUGUGCAGAUUACGGUGCAAUUUUUGGAAAC